rfam:Lentinula edodes NBRC 111202 DNA, contig: scaffold12.
UCCAAUGUGGUGUAGUGGCUAACAUUGCUGUCUUUCAUGUCGUUUCUUGGUUGUUACACAGCAGCCCGGGGUUCGAUUCCCCGCAUUGGAA